rnacentral:rRNA from 1 species
UGGGGAAUAUUGCACAAUGGGCGCAAGCCUGAUGCAGCCAUGCCGCGUGUAUGAAGAAGGCCUUCGGGUUGUAAAGUACUUUCAGCGGGGAGGAAGGCGAUAAGGUUACUAACCUUGUCGAUUGACGUUACCCGCAGAAGAAGCACCGGCUAACUCCGUGCCAGCAGCCGCGGUAAUACGGAGGGUGCAAGCGUUAAUCGGAAUUACUGGGCGUAAAGCGCACGCAGGCGGUCUGUCAAGUCGGAUGUGAAAUCCCCGGGCUCAACCUGGGAACUGCAUUCGAAACUGGCAGGCUAGAGUCUUGUAGAGGGGGGUAGAAUUCCAGGUGUAGCGGUGAAAUGCGUAGAGAUCUGGAGGAAUACCGGUGGCGAAGGCGGCCCCCUGGACAAAGACUGACGCUCAGGUGCGAAAGCGUGGGGAGCAAACA